ensembl:snoRNA
CCUCUCUCAGCUCCGCUGAAUCACACAGGUGCAGUGUGUGCUUGGCGUAUUUUAAGGGAGAGAGAGGAAGGCCCUCCUAAUGCACGGCAGAUCUGCCCCUAAGUGGCCUCUCUGUUCCUAGGAGUGCAACAGCU